UUAUCCCUCUCAACCCCAUUUGCUUCCCCUGGUCAGGAACCUUUCACAAACAUACUAAUGAAUAAUCUAUCAAUCUCCACUUUACACAUCCCCAAUCACUUAGCUUCACAGCUGUCUGUGGCAAGCAAUUCCACAGAUUCACCACCUUCUGGCUCGAGAAAUCCCUCCUCAUCCCUGUUGUAAAGGGACAUACUUCUACUCCAAGGCUGUACCGUCUGGUCCCAAACUCCACCACCACAAAAUACAUCCUCUCUACUUCAACUCUAUCUAGGUCUUUCAAUAACCAUAAGCUUUCAAUGUCCUUCUUUUCUCUUUACCAGAGCUAUCAAAAGUGAGAUACCUUCCUCCAGAUAAUGGCCUUCCAAAAAACACUUGUCGUCCUGGUGUUUCUCCUGCUGCUUGUUAACACUGAGUUUUCCAAAGCUCAAAUGACCGGACAUUUUGAACACAGAUUAAACAGUAAUGCAGAGGGAAUUUCUUCACAGGAAAAUAUGAGCGAAAGUCUGAGAAGCAGAUUCCGACGACACAACAGAUGGCGAGCUGCCCAAAAGGAACGAGCACUCCCAGCAAUGAUCCAUCGGAAGGAAUUCAGUCUGCCAGAAACUUCAGUCAGACAGACAGACUGAACGACAUACUUUAUGGAUCCCGAAGGAAAUUGGGUC